rnacentral:rRNA from 1 species
UACGUAGGGGGCAAGCGUUGUCCGGAAUUAUUGGGCGUAAAGAGCUCGUAGGCGGUUCUUUAAGUCGGGUGUGAAAUCUCGGGGCUCAACCUCGAAAUUGCAUUCGAUACUGGAGGACUUGAGGCAGGUAGGGGAAGGUGGAAUUCCUGGUGUAGCGGUGAAAUGCGCAGAUAUCAGGAGGAACACCCGUGGCGAAGGCGGCCUUCUGGGCCUGUUCUGACGCUGAGGAGCGAAAGCGUGGGGAGCAAACAGGAUUAGAAACCCCCGUAGUCC